rnacentral:tRNA from 1 species
GUGGAUGUAGUUCAGUUGGUUAGAGCGCUGGAUUGUGGUUCCAGAGGUCGCCGGUUCGAGCCCGGUCUUCCACCCA